UUAAUAUUGUACUUCACAAAGCUAUUUGAUAGAAAACAUAUGUUUCAUGAAAACGUAUCUUCAAUAUCCAGUUGGAGCUGACUCCAGAAGCUAACUUUCAAUCUGUCCCUGUUCUUUAAUAUUUAUUCCUUUUCAACUGUUGUGACUGAAAUAGAUGAUUGUUCUUUUUCUGGUGAACUGUGAGCCAUAGGGUGAUUGUACUCAAGGGUUAUCUCAAACAAAAGGCCUUGAGGAGGUUUAUGACCAUGGUCAUAGCAGAACCGAAUGCCAUGGGGCACCAACCAUAAGUGGCCCGUCAAUUGUUGAAUGAGGACCCGACAUGGCAAUUGUCAAUUGGUGAUAUGCCAACUUCCUGCCUCUCCAUGUUUAGUGCAGGAGGAGAGAUGGUAUGACUUUGUGUAAGGACAUCUGGGAAAUUUAGGUGACAAUUCCAUCGCCCAUCGCCUACACAUCGUGACAUCUCCAAAAUACACUUUAGGUUCAACAUCUGAAGCCACAUGAUUAGACGCCUUGCUACCUUUGCCAGAAAACCUUUAUGCGCCAUUAUGGCCAGAUACUGACAGCUUUUCAAGCAAGCUGAAUUUUGCUACUGAAAACUUUCCGUACUAGAAAGCUGUGAGAAAGAUGGUGGUGAUGGAGAAAGGAUUGUAGUAAAGAGCAUAGUGGUCAAUCCCUAGUUGCCAAGAGAAGUGGCCACGCCCAAAACUGAGAGCAUAUAGCAAAACCUCUACUCUAAUAUAAUACACAUGUAUACUAAAUAAAAUAAUUAAUACUAUAUAUAUAUAUAUAUAUAUAUAUAUAUAUAUACACACAUAUAUAUACAAGCUCAACAAAAGAGAAAAAAAACACUACAAAAUUGGGCACUAGCAAUCAUCAAUAAUACAAUACAACUCAUGAUAUUAAUACCCAAACAAAAUAUAAAGUAGAUAGAAAUAGUAGUCAAGGGAACAAAGAACUAAAAGCCCCAAAAGCCCAAAGAAACUAAAGUACAAGACAUUAAAAAUCAAAUACAAUAUUUAAUAUGAAUCUUCAUUCUCUUCAAGAUUCAUCUCAGUGUCGCCAUAGAGAAUACAAAAGAGCACAUGAAGUCAAGGACAAAAAAAGUUUAUGGCUGCUGCCAGCCAGCAUGAAAGAAAAAAAGGAAUCUGAGAACAAGGAACACAGAGAAAAAGAUUAUAGGCAGCCGUGGAAAAGGGAAAUACAAAGCAUAUAAAAGAGAGAAAUCAGAAUUAGAGAAAAGAUGAGAAAAACUUCAAAGGAAAAGAAAAAAGAACCUAAAACAAAUAAGAGGUUGUCCUCAACGGAGUGGUCUGGCUGCCAUAAAAGGUUGCCUUUGUCAGGGAAGAACAAAGGUUACCAGACAAGAAGAAUUGUCUGUGGGUUCAGGAGAGAAUAGAGAAUAAGGUUAGGGAAGAAUGUGCACGAGGGAUAGAAGAGCUUCUCUUCAAAAGCUAACCUAAAAGCACUACUAAAAUUCUAAAAUACCCUCUCUAAUAAUCACAGAUUGAGGCUAUUUGGGGGGAUAAAUGUGUACAGCCACCCUGUUACACCGCUACUAUGCUGUCUCCAACAGCAACACCGAAAUGCAGCACAACAGCAUUUGCACAAUGCCCCACCGGAACACCACCAUGCUACACUGCUAAUACAGCAACUUCGGCCUUAUUGACUACAAUUAUGGUAAUUUUUUUAAUGAAAAAUUAAUAGUUUUCAUAUUGUUACAAGCAUAGUAGCAAGCUUACCC
rnacentral:lncRNA from 1 species